rnacentral:rRNA from 1 species
AGCAGCCGCGGUAAUUCCAGCUCCAAUAGCGUAUAUUAAAGUUGUUGCAGUUAAAAAGCUCGUAGUUGAAUUUCGGGGUUCUACCGUUGGUCGGGCUUUGUCUGUACUGAUGUGUAGAAUUUCUACCUUCUGGGGAACCAUCAUGUUAUUAAUUUAGCGUGGUGGGAAACCAGGACCUUUACCUUGAAAAAAUUAGAGUGUUCAAAGCAGGCUUAUGUCUGAAUACAUUAGCAUGGAAUAAUAGAAUAGGACGGUGGUCCUGUUUUGUUGGUUUCUGAAUCACCGUAAUGAUUAAUAGGGAUAGUUGGGGGCAUUAGUAUUCAAUUGUCAGAGGUGAAAUUCUUGGAUUUAUUGAAGACUAACUUCUGCGAAAGCAUUUGCCAAGGAUGUUUUCAUUAAUCAAGAACGAAAGUUAGGGGAUCGAAGACGAUCAGAUACCGUCGUAGUCUUAACCAUAAACUAUGCCGACUAGGGAUCGGAUGAUGUUAAUUUUUUAAUGACUCG